AUUACCCCAAAUAUUUUUCAUCUAAAAGUUUUAAACCUAAAACUCUUAACGAAAAAACCAAUUCAAACUCAUAUCCUUUGUUGAGUCUUCAUCUUUCUAUAUGAUCACCUUCUUACACUAUACUUUUAAAACAUGAAAUCUUAAAUUCGUUACAUAUGUGAAUUAAAGUCAACAAGAUGGAUUAUACAAGGAGAUUCACAAAAUGGAUCAAAAGAUCACUUUGUGCAAACCUUGGAUGUCAAUGUCUCAUUCUCCUACUAAGAAGCUUUAGUACAAAGAGGUAGUGAGAAAAGAGCAUUGAACGGUUUGUGCCUCAUUUUGUAUGAAUCUUUUGUAAUGGAUGAAAUUCUAAAAAUAAUAAUGAAGAAGGGCUAGAGCACCUACAGUCCCAUUGAAGAGUUAUAUCUCUGGAAGAUUAUAUCUCCAAUUCAAUAUUUAGAGAACAUCUCAUCAAACAAGUUAGAGACAAUUAGAGAAAAGGGAAACUAAAACAUCUCAUUUUCCUUAGUUAUGUUUGACGAGUCAUAAGGUAGUCUCUUGAAUAUGAAAACUUCUUCAUCACUCUAUCAGAUGGAAGUUCAAAGAAGAAAGACACUUACUGAAGAAAGAAUCAAUAAAGAGAUCUAUUUAGUUAUGUAUUAGGAAUUGGUGAUCGAAACCUAAUAUUUAAUUUAAACUAAUGAACCUCGUAUAGAUAGCCUUUAAAGGACCUUAGGAUUUUAUUUUAUUUUUUAUUUAUUUUUUAUUUUUAGCCUUUAGAUUCUUAGUUUUAUCCUCUGCUUGUGUCUUAUUUUUUUUCCUCUUUGUCCCUCCAUUUUUUCUUUAUGCA
rnacentral:lncRNA from 1 species